GAGAUUGCUCGUGUUUGACGAGAUUGGAAAUGGAAGCUUGAGGGAUCAUCUUAAUGAUCCUCUCAAGACUCCCUUAAAUUGGAGGAUGAGGCUACAAAUAGCUGCGGGUGUGGCUGCUGCACUGGAAUACCUACUUCUUUUCACCGAUCCCCCAAUGUGUCACGUAUCCAUUAGCUCAAGCACUAUUAUGUUAGACGAAAAUUUCACUGCAAAGAUAUCUGAUGUUGCCUUUAUCUGCUCCCCCGUAAACAUCAGUGGUUAUCCGGAUGCAACAAAGUCAGAUGAUUUUAUGGAUCAGAAAUGUGGUAACAUUAUUUACCAGCUUGGAGUCCUCAUCCUGGAGCUCAUAACUGGACAAUCUUCAGAUGGAACAGGUGCCGAUCUUAUCAAGUGGAUCCAAGGAACAAACUUUGCCAGGUCAAUGAACAAGAUGAUCGACCCUGAUCUUGGAAAUAGUUUUGACUACAAAGAUGUGAGAAACCUUCUAUCAAUAGCAAAAUUGUGUAUAAAGUCCAGAGAAAAGCCAAGAUUCUCCAUUCCCCAGAUUUUCCGGUAUCUGCAGAGUAAAGUAGAUGUGACUAGCUACUAGUAUUUUCUUCUACGUUCUAUAUUUGGAAAUUUUCUUCUUCUACUUACUCUCUCUCUCUCCUCCUCCUUUUCCCUAUCAUCAUCUUCUUCUUGUUCAAGACUUAUUUUUAUAUCCACG
rnacentral:misc_RNA from 1 species